AUUGAACGCUGGCGGCAGGCUUAACACAUGCAAGUCGAGCGGAGCGAGGGUGCUUGCACCUUAGCUUAGCGGCGGACGGGUGAGUAAUGCUUAGGAAUCUGCCUAUUAGUGGGGGACAACAUUCCGAAAGGAAUGCUAAUACCGCAUACGCCCUACGGGGGAAAGCAGGGGAUCUUCGGACCUUGCGCUAAUAGAUGAGCCUAAGUCGGAUUAGCUAGUUGGUGGGGUAAAGGCCUACCAAGGCGACGAUCUGUAGCGGGUCUGAGAGGAUGAUCCGACACACUGGGACUGAGACACGGCCCAGACUCCUACGGGAGGCAACAGUGGGGAAUAUUGGACAAUGGGCGGAAGCCUGAUCCAGCCAUGCCGCGUGUGUGAAGAAGGCCUUUUGGUUGUAAAGCACUUUAAGCGAGGAGGAGGCUACUGGUACUAAUACUACUGGAUAGUGGACGUUACUCGCAGAAUAAGCACCGGCUAACUCUGUGCCAGCCGCCGCAGUAAGAC
rnacentral:rRNA from 1 species